GCGGCUGGGCUGUGUGCGGCGGCGGCGGCGGCGGCGGCGGCGGCGGCGGCGGCGGCCGCCGAGGGGGAUGGAGCGAGCGCCGAGCCGGGUCAGAGGUGAACAAUGACCACAGGUGACAAAGCUUCAGAAUCUUCAGACCCAUCAACCUGUCAGAACCAGCCUGGCAGUUCUGAGGCAGUCUCACCUGGAGACAUGGAGGCAGGUUCUGCCAGCUGGGGUACUGUGUCUUCAUUAAAUGAUGUUUCAAGUCACGCGCUUUCUUUAGGACCAGUACCUGGUGCUGUAGUUUAUUCAAGUUCACCUGUACCUGAAAAAUCAAAACCAUCACCACCAAAGGAUCAAGCUCUAGGUGAUGGCAUUGCUCCUCCAGAAAAAAUUCUUUUCCCAUCUGAGAAGAUUUGUCUUAAGUGGCAGCAAACUCAUAGAGUAGGAGCUGGGCUCCAGAAUUUGGGCAAUACCUGUUUUGCCAACGCAGCGCUGCAGUGUUUAACUUAUACACCACCACUUGCCAACUACAUGCUAUCACACGAACACUCCAAGACAUGUCAUGCAGAAGGAUUUUGUAUGAUGUGUACAAUGCAGGCUCAUAUCACACAAGUGCUGAACCAUCCUGGGGAUGUUAUUAAACCGAUGUUUGUCAUUAAUGAGAUGCGGCGCAUAGCUAGGCACUUCCGCUUUGGAAGCCAAGAAGAUGCCCAUGAAUUCCUUCAGCACACUGUUGAUGCUAUGCAAAAAGCAUGCUUGAAUGGCAGCAACAAGUUAGACAGACACACCCAGGCCACCACACUCGUCUGCCAGAUAUUUGGAGGAUACCUAAGAUCUAGAGUCAAAUGUUUAAAUUGCAAAGGUGUGUCAGAUACUUUUGAUCCAUAUCUCGACAUAACAUUGGAAAUAAAGGCUGCUCAGAGCGUUAAUAAGGCGUUGGAGCAGUUUGUGAAGCCGGAACAGCUCGAUGGAGAAAACUCGUACAAGUGCAGCAAGUGUAAAAAUAUGGUUCCAGCUUCGAAGAGGUUCACUAUACACAGAUCUUCUAAUGUUCUCACACUUUCUCUGAAACGUUUUGCAAAUUUUACUGGUGGAAAAAUUGCUAAGGAUGUGAAAUACCCUGAGUAUCUUGAUAUUCGACCGUAUAUGUCUCAGCCGAACGGAGAACCGAUCAUUUAUGAUUUGUAUGCAGUACUGGUACACACUGGUUUUAAUUGCCAUGCUGGCCAUUACUUCUGCUACAUAAAAGCUAGCAAUGACCUCUGGUACCAAAUGAAUGACUCCAUCGUAUCUAUCAGUGAUAUUAGAUCGGUACUCAGUCAACAAGCUUAUGUUCUCUUUUAUAUCAGGUCCCACGAUGUGAAAAUAGGAGGUGAACUUACUCAUUCCGCCCAUAGCCCUGGCCAGUCCUCUCCCCAGCCGGUGAUCAGCCAGCGGGUUGUCAGCAACACACAGGCAGCAUCCGGGUUCAUCGGACCACAGCUUCCUUCUCACAUGAUGAAGAACCCACCUCAUCUAAACGGGACAGGACCCUUGAAGGAGAUGCCGAGCAGCUCCAUGGCAAGUCCUAACGGGAAUUCCAGUGUCAGUAGGACUGGCCCUGUUAACGCCUCGACAUCUGUUCAGGACUGGCCGGUUAACAGGCCCUCAGCUAUUCCAGAACAUCCCAAGAAACAGAAAAUCACGAUCAGUAUUCACAGCAAGUUACCUGUGCAGAAAAUGCAGCCACAGCCUACUCUCCACAGCAGCUCUUCGGAGAGCGCUAACAAGCCCGCCCCCUCCUCUACCAUUACGACUUCUACUGCAAUACAGUCUACCUCGAGUGCCCCCGUGAUGCCCGCGUCUAGUAAGGUAACGAAGCAGAUCGCCCUGAGGGAGUCCUGCCCUGAGCCUGUGACGAACGGCAGGUCCAAGCUGAGCUCCGGCGUGCUGGUCCCCUACGGCGCCGAGUCGUCCGAAGAGUCCGACGAGGAGGCGAAGGGCCUCGGCAAGGAGAACAGUCUCCGUCCCGCCGAGAGCGCGCGCGCCCCUGCUCCGCUUGCCGAAGAUGUCGGGGCCUCUCCGCACGAGCUCCGAGAGCCCGUGGCUCUAAAUGGUGCUACCAGUACGGACAGUGACCCGAAAGAAAACAGCCUACCCUCGGGUGCUGCCAGCUGCCACGUCCAGCCUGCCCUACACUCAGAAAACCCCUUUUCUAAGGCAAACAGUCUCCCUGGGAAGUUGAUGCCUGCUCCUUUGCCACUUCUCCCAGAAGACAAAAUCUUAGAGACCUUCAAACUCGGCAGCAAAGGGAAAGGCUCCACAGAUGAGAUGAGUACAACUGGGACAGAGGAGAGGCCUCCGCAGGACCCCGAGGCUGAGCUGGAGGCUGGCAGCUCCGCUCCCGAUUCCCGUGAGAACCUAGAGCUGGUCAUGAGCCUUAGCAGCAAAUUCAAGAAGGUUUUGUUGCCCUCAGACGCCAGCAUCAAACCUACCAAAGAAGAAGUCUCUGAAAACAUUUUGGCAAAACCCGAGGAGGCUUUGCCGAGUAUCAACACCUUCUGUAACACCAACAAGGAUACCCUCGGGGGUGACCAGCUUCCUAAACCGUGUGACCCAGGGAAUUUAACAAACGAUCAGAGCAAACCGUCCCAGGACAUGAAAGGGACGUCACCAGAGCGUCCCCAGGACCCGGCGGCAGCAGAAGCCGCGGGGAGGCUGAGCCCGAGCCCCUUGUCAGGUACCGAGGGCGACUGUGAGCCUGAGCCCUUGGGUCACAGCAGUCGGGACAGAGGCACGGAUGUGGAGGGUCCCCCUAAAAGCACAGGGGUGUCCGCAGAUGGGGUGCCCUCUCCGCAAUUAGACAGGAUCGCAGAAAACCGUCCAGAGGGGGUCCCCGAGCAAAGUAACGGUGAGAGAGGUGAAGACAGUAAGGCCGGGCAGAAGGUCCAGGAGGCUUGUGCAGUGCAGGAAAAAACCAGCAGCCUCAGAAAGGUUGACCGAGGACAUUACCGCAGCCGAAAAGACCGAUCGUCCAGCGGCGAGCACGCGCGGGACAGCAGGAGCGGGACGGAGGAGCAGCCUCGCCGGAGGCGACCCCACCAUGAGUGGAAGCGGUGCCGGUCCGAGCGGCCCGAGCCCUGCGCCGCGGCCCCGCACGCCCCCUGCCCCGGAUCCCUGGCCAGGUCCGGCCACCCGCGCUCCCGGAGCAUGGGGGCCCCCGACCAGGAGUGGGGCCGCUACCACCACGCUGAGGCCGAGCACGCCUGGGCCCGGGAGAACUACCCGGAUGGGAUGCGCUGGGGGCGGUUCAGGUACCACCACGACAGGUACGCCUCGUACCCGGCCCGCGAGCCGUGGGAGUGGAGGCCCCUCCACGGCGAGCGAGAGUACGACCGAGCCGGGCCCUACAGCGGCCGGCCCCACAAGGACCACUACAGAGGCCGGAAGGGCCACGAGCCGGCGGCCAAAGAGAGGGACCGGCACCGCAUCAGCAGCCCCGGGGCGGGCCCGGCCCACACGCCCCCUCCACACCCUGCUGACAAGUACGCCCACGACAAGGCUGCACUGGGGGCUGAAGACAGAGGCUGUGACCUCGCCGGUCAGUUUCACGAACACAAAAACAUCAAGUCACGAAAACGGAGGUACAGUAGUGUAGGGGAUAAAGACAGCCACGUAGAAAAGAAAGCCUGGAGAAGCUCACAGAAGGAUCCUUUAGAGGAGCCUAAAGUGAAGAAGCACAAAAAAUCAAAGAAAAAGAAAUCCAAGGACAAACACCGAGAGCGGAAUUCCAGGCGGCAGCAGUACUCAGACCUUUUGGUAACGCACUCUGAUGCCGACCUGCACAACAGACACAAGAAGAAAAAGAAGAAGAAGAAAAAGAAGAAGCACUCAAAAUCAGAGAACUCGCUUAGAGAUUCAGAGCCACUCUUGCCCGAGGCCACCAGCUGUGAGACUGUGGACCAUUUCCAGGGAGCGGACAGCGCUUUCCCCCUCAUGGCCAGCCAGCCUCUGGAUGGUGUGGGACCUUGCCCUGAGAAAACAAAACAUUUCUGGAUGGAAACGAGGGAUGACAGGUGUCAUCUGUCUAAGUGUGGCCAGGGUAAGAGGACAUACUUGGAACUGCGAAUAUAGAAACUCUUUUCUUUGGAAAGGGUGGUUAACACAGGGAAGGAGCCUCAAAGGGCAUAGAAGGUGUAAGUCCCCUCUGAGCUCCCCGCCCUGUGUCCUCUGCCCGACGGCUGGCCCGAGGCUGCUGUGGCCGGUCUCGACGGUUAGCCGUGCUGCCGCGGCGCUUACUGGAGACCUGAGUUACGCGGAACCGGGAACCUCUGGAAUUGAUGGCUCUGAGUGUCUGAUUGUGGACCAGAACUUCUGUUUUUAAGCCAUUUUUGAUAGAAAUGUUGUGGUACAUUCUUUCUCUCCAGAAUCCUUAAGCCUUUGGCAUUGUGAGUAGAACCUAGAACUCAGUUUGGUGACUGGCUCGCUGGACGUCAUGCUUCAGGCCUGCGCUGGUGAAGCUCAGGCUCCUGACGGGGUGCCCUGGGUCACUGCAGGCCUCUGGGCUCUGGGAUUCUUGUCUGCUUUGCACAGCUCUGCCUUCCCUUGUAACUUCCCAGCCUUUUCUACUCUGAUUGCUCUGAAAGCAGAGCCCCCCUUGCUUCCUCAUCUGUUCCGAUGACCUUCGACCCUGGAAGGAGUGCUGAGCGUUUUUGAGGGGGCCGGGGGCCCCCCUAGGGCAGGGCUGGACUGGCCGCCGCCUUUGCGCGGCCUGACGGUGAUUGAAAACGUGGCUUCAAGACAAAAAAUUCACUGGUUACGAUUCAACGUGUUCAACAGAAGCCAUCCCCAACCCACAUUAAAUUACAAAUAGAGAAAAUAACUUGAAAUCUGCGUGGUGCUUCUUUAGUGUAAAUAGUGUAUAGAUUUUACCAUGGAGGACUUUUUUUUUUAGUUUUUACCUUUUCUUAAUUACCCUUAUUCCAAAUGGGUGAACACUUUCUACAACUGCUGACCAUUGUAAAAUACUGUGUAUAUAAACCACAUUGAAAAUAACGCCCUGGACUAGAACAUCUCAAAUGCUGCUUAAUCACAGACUCAGGUUGAUCACUCGUAUUCCAUGUAAUGCUCCUCCAAGUUAGACAUCCGGUGCAAGACCAACCGGGAAACCAUGGAAUUAUUAAAAGUACAAACUGACAGUGUGUAUAUUUAAUUUAAAAACUUAUUUAAAGAUUCACAAGCUCUCAACUAGACUUUUGAGAGCAGUCUGUUUUCUGUAAUGUCUGAUACUAGAAACUAAUUUGCUUCAUAUUUUAGUUGUAUUCAAGAUUUGAAGAUUUUAUAGACAAGUUCUGUUUUUGAACUUUGUGGAACUAUUCCAAUCAAUUUACCAGUUAUGAUGAGUAUUUACAUUAUGAAUGUAUAAUCGGAACAUUAUUUGUAAGGCCUACAGUAUGUUUUUAUUACAUAACACUUUUUUAUACAGUGUCUCUUGUCUUGACUAUGAUAUUGGAGUCUGAGUUGUCAGCUUGGUCCCUUAAAGUUUCUAGUUACAGACAAAAAUCAUACUGUGAUUUUAUUUUUAAUAUGGAUAUGCUAUCAAACUGUGAUACACUUAUAAUUCACUGGUCCUGCAUCAGGAGUUGGAGUGGGGAAAACUGUAUUUAAUACAGUUUGUAUCUGAAUAAUCUGUAUGGUUUAUACAGUUUGUGUUGUUCAGAGACGUCUAAAGUUUGAUCUUUGUUUUUUUAAAGAUUAAAAAAGCACUUGCCCCACUGUAAAUAUACAGCAUGUAAAAUUUAUAUAGUAUAUAAAUG